GGCUUCUUGUGCAGAACAGAAUUGCUGAAUUCCAUACUGAACUUGAACUACUUUCCACCUCUGCUUUGGAGAACCCAUGCAUUAAACAUGCUGUGGAGCUGGAGCAAUCGUUUAUGGAAGGGGCUUACAACCGUGUGUUGAGUGCUCGACAGACCGUGCCACAUGAAACUUUUGGUUAUUUCAUGGACCUCCUUGCAAAGACUGUAAGAGAU
rnacentral:misc_RNA from 1 species